rnacentral:rRNA from 1 species
AGGUUUUUGGAGGAAGGUUCGUCCGCUCCAAGUUAGUCGGGAGCUAAGGUGAGGCCGGAAGGCGUAGCCGAUGCACAGACGGUAGAGAUUCCGUCACCACCAAAAGAGUUAAGCACAGGGACACAUUCAAAGUCUCAGAGCCGGGUGUUGGUUCCGGUAGAGAUCGAGGGAAAAUAGUACCGAAGUCUGGGAUGGAGGAUGGCGAGAAAAGCUGUGUGUAUUUCUGCGGUGCCCGUACCGCAAACCGACACAGGUAGGUAGGAAGAAGAUUCUAAGGCCAACGGGAGAAGGGUUGUUAAGGAACUCGGCAAAUUGACCCCGUAACUUCGGGAGAAGGGGUGCUCUAGCAAUAGAGCCGCAGAGAAUCGGCCCAAGCAACUGUUUACCAAAAACACAGGUUUGUGCUAAAUCGAAAGAUGACGUAUACGAGCUGACGCCUGCCCGGUGCUGGAAGGUUAAGAGGAGAUGUGCAAGCAUUGAAUCGAAGCCCCAGUAAACGGCGGCCGUAACUAUAACGGUCCUAAGGUAGCGAAAUUCCUUGUCAGGUAAGUUCUGACCCGCAUGAAAGGCGUAAUGAUUUGGGCACUGUCUCAACAGCCCGCCCGGCGAAAUUGUAGUACCGGUGAAGAUGCCGGUUACCCGCGACAAGACGGAAAGACCCCAUGGAGCUUUACUGUAGCUUGAUAUUGGGUUUCGGUAAUUUAUGUACAGGAUAGGCGGGAGACUAGGAAGCCAGUACGCCAGUAUUGGUGGAGUCGUCCUUGGGAUACCGCUCUUAAGUUGCUGGAAUUCUAACCUGCGGCCGUGAAUCCGGCCGGGGGACAUUGUCAGGUGGGCAGUUUGACUGGGGCGGUCGCCUCCAAAAGAGUAACGGAGGCGCUCAAAGGUUCGCUCAGCACGGACGGAAACCGUGCUUUUGAGUGUAAACGCAGAAGCGAGCCUGACUGCGAGGGUGACGGCCCGAGCAGAAACGAAAGUUGGAGUUAGUGAUCCGGCGGUAUGUGAAUGGAAAUGCCGUCGCUCAACGGAUAAAAGCUACCCUGGGGAUAACAGGCUGAUCUCCCCCAAGAGUCCACAUCGACGGGGAGGUUUGGCACCUCGAUGUCGGCUCAUCGCAUCCUGGGGCUGAAGUAGGUCCCAAG